GGCUCGGUAGCUAAGUUGGAAAAGCACUUGUCUAGCGAAUAAGGGUCGUGAGUUCAAAUCUCACCUGAGCUG
rfam:Aedes albopictus isolate Foshan contig46410, whole genome shotgun sequence.